UGUAAAAAGUAAUGAAACAAAAAAAAAUGAAAAGAGUAUUAAUUUGAAUAAUAGUUAUAAUUUGAAUAAAAAUAUGAACGUUCAUACAAAUUUGUUUCCAAUAUCCAGUAAUGUGUUAAGUGAUAGUGCUAAUACUAAUGGUAAUGUUUUUUUAAAAAAAAAGGAUAGUGGUAAAGAUAGUGGCAAAGAUAGUGGUAAGGAUAGUGGUAAAGAUAGUGGUAAAGAUAGUGGUAAGGAGAGUGAUAAAGAUAGUGGUAAAGAUAGUGAUAAAGAUAGUGAUAAAGAUAGUGAUAGUUAUAAUGAAGAAACGUUUAAAAAAAAUAUGAAUGUUGUAGAAUUAAGUUUUAGUGUAAUAAAUAAAUGGAAUAACCCCAUCGAUUUGGUAGAGUUUGUAAAAAAUAAUUUAAAAAAUAACGAAUUUAUGUACAUAAAAAGAUUAGGCAACAACAGAUAUGAAAAAGUAAGUUGUGCAAACAAAAAAGACCCUAAUAUAAUGUCAAUUUCUUUAAACGGAGUUUUGGUUAAUGAAAAAAAUGAUACGAUAUUUUAUGAACUCAAUGAAUGGAAAGACAAUGUAAUUUUAUUAAAGAAUGCUAAAAAUUUAAAAUUUGUUAAAAAGUACCAUUUAUAUAAAUAUUUUUUUUUACUAAAAAAUAUGAUAAAAUAUAAUAAAUUUCGAAAUAGAAAAAAUUAUAUACAAAAUAAUUUAUUACAUUUAAAUAAACAAUUGUUUAUAGCUUUAAUACAAAUACAUACAAUAUUACAAGAGUUAAAUGAAAUUAAAAUAAUUGAUACUAAUAUAAAUAAUAUGAGUAUAGACGAUUUUAAAGAAUUACAAAAUGAUUAUAUUGUUUAUUUUAGUAGAACAUUAAAAAUAAAUUUAAAAAAUAUCGUAGAUAUAAUAUGCAAACAUUCUACAAAAGCAUUAUAUGAUUACUUAAGUAGUAAUGGGAUAAAUCAAGAAGAUAUAUCGGUUUCGAAAAACGCUCGGUUUAGUCUUGUUGCCAAAACAAGCACAAUUUCAGCUCUUACAACUGCUACUGUCACAACUUCUGCAGCCACGGCUCCUACUACUGCUAUUACUACACUUUCCAAAGCAAGGGAAAAAAAUAAAAAAAAAAAAGUGCUAGUAAAAAAAAGUAAAAAAUUAUUAAAUGUUUAUUUUGUAGAAUGUGAUGAAGGUGAUAAUAACUUGACUAAUAUUUCUACAGUUAAAAGUAGAGAUGCAAUUUUAAGAACAGGUGUUAUGGAUAAUGUUAAUGCAGGAAAUAAUAAUAACAUAAUGCCAUUAUCUUUACAAAGAAACAAUAUAAUUAAGGAAGGUGUACAUACUGUGGAUAAAUUACAAACACAAGAAGAACAAAAGAUUAGUAAUAAUAUUACAAAUAUAUUAACAUGUAAUGAAAAAUAUAGCAACAUAAACAAAGUAAAUAAUAAAAUAAGAUAUAAACUAAAAGAAUUAGACGGUGAUAAUAAUAAUAAUAAUAAUGAUACUAUUAUGGGUAGUGGUAGUCCUACAAAUACAGUUACAAAUAAAAACACGAACGAAAAUAAUAAAAACAUCAGUUCUUUUGGUAAAAAUAUAAUUAACAUUUAUGAUAGAAGUCAUAGCGCACAAAAUAAAAUAAACGAAGUAUGUUUAUUUAAUAUAGUAAUAACAAUAGAAGAUAAUAAACCUAAAAUAAGACCAGAAUUAGAUUUUUUAAUAAAUACAAUAGAAUAUUAUAUUAACAUUAAUAUAAAAUGUUUAAAUAAUAGAGAACCGUUUAUUAGUGAUGUUAAAAUAAAAAAUUUUUUUAAAAAUGAGAUUUAUGUUGAUAGCAUUAUAAGUAGUAACAAGCAGGAUUAUGAUUAUACUAACCAUAACAACAGUGUAGAAAAUAUAACCAGUGGUAAUGUAACCAGUGUUAAUGUAACCAGUGUUAAUGUAACCAGUGUUAAUGUAACCAGUGGUAAUGUAACCAGUGGUAAUGUAACCAGUGGUAAUGUAACCAAUCGCAAUACAACCAAUCGCAAUACAACCAAUCGCAAUACAACCAAUCGAAUUACAACCAGUGGUAAUACAACCAGUGGAAAUGUAACCAAAGUAGUACACUAUACAAAUCCUAAUCAACCAAACGAAGUCGAUACGUUUAGUUUUUCUUCUGAUGAUUUAUUAUACCAAUUAAAUUACGAAGUUAAACAUAAAAUAUCGAUUUUGUAUAAUUCGAUGGUAAACAGUUGUAAUUAUUUAUACGAAAUAAUAGAAUUAUUUAAUAAAUACAAAAGUGUAAACAUAAAAGAGUUAGAUAUAAUGAACGUUAGUAUGGUUUCCAAUUUAUUUAUAUCUUUAAAAGAUUUAGAAAAUCGUAUAAAAAAAAUAAAUAAACAAACAAAUGUAAAUAUAUUUAAAGUGGAUAGUAGUAUAUUAACAAAUAGUUUAUUAAAAAGUAUAAAUACAUUAUGGGAUGAUAUAAUAAAAUAUUUACCUUCGCUUAAUAAAGAAGUUAUUGAUACGUUAGCAAAUAAAUUAAACAAUGCAUAUUCUAUUAUUACUAAAACACCAAAUAAUAUAUUCGAACUUGUAAAAUAUGUUGAUUUUAUUAAUUCAUUUAACAACGAAUUAGUAACAAUAGAUGAAUCAAUUGAAUCUAUCACUACUAUGUUUUUAUUUUUUAAAAAAUAUUAUAUAACUAUUGAUGGAAAUAAUACAACUAAGUUAUUCUAUAUAAAUCAAAAAAUGAAUGCAGUAAAAAGUAUACUAUUAAAUAAAAAUGCUUAUAAUUUACAAUUUAAAGAUCUAUAUGAAGACUUAGAAAAAUAUAUAAGUUCUAUAGAAAAACAAAUUCAAAAAUAUAUAAGUAUUAUGAAGUUAAAUUUUUUUAAAUUUGAUUUUACAUUAUUUACUCUUGAGGAUAUACAGAAUAUGCUUAAAUGUGUGGUUCCUAUAAAAGACAUUACCGAGGUGUUUUACGAUGUAUCACGUGUGGGUGUUCAUACAAAAGGGGGAGUUCCCACAGACUCUACACCCGAUACAUCUAAUACAUCCAAUACAUCUAAUACAUCCAAUACAUCUAAUACACCAAAUACAUCUAAUACACCAAAUACAUCUAAUACAUCUAAUACACCCGGUACUUUCCACACCUCCCACACAGAUGACGUACUCGAAAAUUUAUACAACGAAACAAACAAAAUUCUGUCGACCCUAAAAAUAAACGAACAAAACGAAAUUGUGUUAUUAUUCCCAUCAGUUAGGACACAAGAAAUAGAAACAAUCUGUUUAGAAUAUGAAAAAGAAGAAGAAAUAAAUAAAAACUUUGCAAAAAUAAAAACGUUACUAAAAACAUAUAAAUUAGAUGUUAUUUUAAUUAAUAAAACUUUAUAUUUUAUUAACCAUAUAGAUACAGUAUUAUCAAACUUGAAAAAAAUAUUAUUAGAACUUUUACAAAUAGGAAAUGAUUUUUUUAGUAAAUAUAUAUAUACAGAACUAUUUACCUUAUCCAAAAAUAUAAUCCAUUUUAGUAACAUUCUUUAUAUAGUAAAAAAAAUACAAAUAUACUAUCAACAGUUUGAAAAGUAUAAAAAUGUAGACAUAUUAAAAGAAAUGGAAUUAUCUGAAAAAAAUUCGAUAAAAUCAUAUAUAAGUGGUGAAAAACAAAUCAAUAGAAAGGAAAUAAAAAUAUCCAGUGUUGAAAAUGUGGGAAAUGUUAUAAACACAUAUAAAAAUGUAUGUGAAGAGUUUUUUGUAUAUCCACAAAUAGUUAAACAUAUUGAAAAGGAGCAUAAAUUAAUUUAUUAUAAGGAUGUACUAUUCUUUUUUAAAACUAUAAUAAAAAAAAUUGAAACAUAUAUGAUUAAAAAAAAAAGAAUCGAAUUUUAUACUUUUUAUUUAUUAACAAAUAAAACAUUUUUACAUAUAUAUCCUGAUUUAACAAAUUUAAAAAAAAUAAACAUAUAUGUAAAUAAAAUGUUUCCAUAUAUUUAUAAAUUAAUAUGUCAAAAUGAAUCCAUCUGUGGUGUUAUUACUACUAACAAUGAAAGAAUGAUAUUCAAAAAUAAAAUACAAUUUAAAAAAUUAAAAUAUUUACUACACGAAAUUAACAGUUCUAUAAAAAGUUAUAUGAUCGACACUAUACAACAUUAUGUUAAAAAUAAAACCUUUUUUCAACCAUUAAAAUUAGACACUUAUCUAUUUUUUAUUAACAUCGAUAAUUUACAAUUUCUAUAUAUUUUACUCAAUAUAUAUUUUACGUAUGUGUUAGAUUUUUUUUUUCAAAAUGUGAAUAAAAACAAAGAAAUCUUUAAUUAUUUGAUGCAAAAUGUUUCUCAGUUAGUUCAUAGGUUGGAAGAGUGGGAGGGAACACAUGGUGACAGUACGCAUGGUGACAGUACGCAUGGUGACAGUACACAUGGUAACAGUACACAUGGUAACAGUACACAUGGUGAUAGUACACAUGGUGAUAGUACACAUGGUGAUAGUACGCAUGGUGAUAGUACGCAUGAUGGAAAUAAACACAAGACUAUAACCCAUCAACCCCGUUUGAAUGCUUACACUAAUAAAAAUCAGAUAAUGUCAAAACUGUCAAACAAUAUGAAACAAUCAAAUAUCAUGCAGUUGUCAAGCAAAACAAAAGCGUCAAACAUAGUGCAUGUACCAGGUACAAUGCACAUGCCAAGCAAAAUGAAAACAUUAAAUAAGAGGAAUAUACCAAAAAACAUCAUAUUUUUGUUAACAUUUUUUAUGUACAUAAAAGACAAAAUUCAAAAAAUAUUAUUAAAUUUUGAACAGAAUGAUACUUGUAUAAAUAACAACAGUUAUAAUUAUCUAGAACAAAUAAAACAUUAUUAUAUAAAAGAUACUUACUAUAUUAAUUUUUUCCAUUACAAUAUACCUUACCGAUUUGAACUGCUUAAUAAUGUUAAUUAUACUUUGGAUAUUAUAUAUAAUGAACAAAAUUUUAAUUUUUUUUUUUAUAAAUAUAUUGCUAGUAAUUAUAUUACAAUAUUUGGAAACAUAGCUGACUCAUGUUCAUAUUAUUUAGCUAAUAAAUUUUCAACUCUUUUAGGUUUCCAAUUUAUAUUAAUUAAUCAUGUAAAUUUAAAAAAAGAAAAUAUUCUAAAUUAUAUUUCAUGUAGCUUAUGUUCAAACGUUUCUUUUUUUUUUCACGAUGUUGAGAAAUAUAAAAAAAAAUUAAAAGAAAUAUUAUAUACUCAGUUAUCAAACAUAAGUUGUUAUUUUUCUCAUAAUAAAAAAAACAUUAUGAUAGAACAUACAGAAUUAUCUUUAAAAUUUAAACCACUGAUAUAUUUGUCAUUAAAUGGAGAUACUGCUUAUAAUACACCUAUAUGUACAUAUUAUAAUGACAUUUAUUUAUCACAUCAAGAUAUCAUACCUAACUUAUAUUCUUCUUUCUAUACUUACCAACCAGUAUUACCUCUUUCAGUUUCGCUCUUAUAUCUUUUUUUUUAUCCUUUUGGUUAUGCUAAAGCUUGCUUUCUAUCGCAGUCUACAAGCCGCAUUUUUUUUUAUCUAAAACUGCAGGUACGUGUUAAAAAAAAAAAAAAAAAAAAAAAAAAAAAAAAAAAAAANNNNNNNNNNNNNNNNNNNNNNNNNNNNNNNNNNNNNNNNNNNNNNNNNNNNNNNNNNNNNNNNNNNNNNNNNNNNNNNNNNNNNNNNNNNNNNNNNNNNAAAAAAAAUAAAAAAGAAGAAGUGGAAGAAAAGUAUUACAUCGUUAAAGAAAUAAUAAAAUAUAUAUAUCGCUUUGUUGAUAGCUACAAACUGAAAGAAAUUGUAAAAGAUAUUUGUGUUAUAUAUAAUGCUUCAAAAGAAACAUAUGAAAGACUAAUAAGUUAUGUAGAACAUAUGGAUGAACAAGAUCAGGAAGAAUAUUAUGAAGUUGAUGAAAAUGAAAGUGAAAGUGUAUUAACAGAAGAAAGAAAGAGAAAGAUAAAAUAUAAACAAACGGAUGGUGAAGUGGUAGGUAAAAUGGUUGGCAGUAAGAUGGUUGGCAGUAAAAGAGAUGACACAACAUUAACAACCGAAAACGACAAUAAUUAUGAUCAUAAUGGUAAAACAUUUAAUGAAAAAAUAGAUUAUAUAAUAAAAGAACUAAUGAAUAAAAAAGAAAAUAAUAAAAUGUUAUUUUUACAAUACCAAGUGAAUAAAGCUAUUGAAAUGUUUAAAAUUUUAUUCUUGAAAAAAGUAAAAGAAAACAUAACUGAAAUAGGUAAAACUAUGCAUUAUAAUAAAACAAAAAGAGUAACAAAUGUACUGAUAAUAGGACAAAAUUAUUCAGCUAUUAGUACUAUUAUAUAUAUUUUAUGUAAUUUUUUAACAAAAUUGAAGAAAAAUAAUAAUAGUUAUGUUUAUGAUAAAUGUACAUAUAAAAAUAUCAAUCUCAAAUACAUUUCGGAUAAAAAUAUUUUUUAUUAUUUUUUUCAAAACAUGGAAAAAGAAACACCAAUAAAUUUAAAUGCAUCUGAAGAUAUGUUAACUAAUAUGGAUAAUAUUGCUGGUGAUAAAAGUAGUAACACUAGCAACAAUAGUGACAGUAGCGAUAGGAGUAUUAACAGUCGAAGUAAUAUACAACAGAGUAAGCAAAAGUUAAAAAUGGUCGAUUCUGAUGAAGAAAAUGUAGAAUUUAGUUUGAAAGGUGCACUAAAUGAGGAAAUAGUUACAAGUAAAAAAAUGGGUACUACAUUUUUGAACAAGUCUAAGUUGACAAGUAAUAUAUUAAACAAACAGCAGAAUAAAAGACCAAUGAAACAACAAAAGAAAACUAUUACCAAAUCAGCUGAUAAAUACGAAACGCUUGAACAGAAGGUGUUUUACUCAAAAGAAAAACAACAAGAGUUAGAUGAAGAUAAUAAUAUACUACUAAAUUAUAUAAAAGUUAAAGAUACAAAUUUAAUAGAAAAAAUAUGCAACUAUACAAUAAAAACAAAUAUGUAUACCAUGAUAAAUAAAAAAAAUGAUGAUAAUAUAAAUCAUACUUGUUUUAUUUUUAAACCUGAUAAUUUAUAUACAAUUUCUCCAUAUAUUUUUAACAAUAUAUAUUUUGUUAACGUUAAAAAAACCGUACCAUAUAUUUAUUUUCUUACUUACAUGGUUGAACAAAUAAAAAUAUAUAAAUAUAUAAAAAAAAAAAUAAUAAAAAUAGCUGAUGAAUUAAUAGUUGAAACUAUUAACUUUUUUAAAAAACAAAGAGAGGUUAUUAAAGUCGUUGGAAAAAAAAAAAAUAAAAUAACACAUUGCCACUUUGAUGUAAAACAAAAUGGGAAAAAUGGGAAAAAUGGGCAAAGCGAAAAAAAUGAGCAAUAUAAGCAACAUGAACAAAAUCGUGCCUCUGUUUUAUACAAUCAGACGAUGGAAUAUGCUACAAAUGAAUUGAACGAAUUCGGGAUAGGUACUAGUGAUAAUCUGAUAACAUCCUCAACAAAUAAACACAUGGAUAGUGAAGAUGCCAAAGUCGUAAGAAUUGGUGACGACAUUUACAAUGAGUAUAGCAAUUUAGACAACUCCAGGGUAGAAGAAGGAGGAGGAAACAAAAGAAAAAAAGAAAAAAAAAACGGUAUAAAUAAUGGUAUAAAUAAUGGUAUAAAUAAUGGUAUAAAUAANNNNNNNNNNGUAUAA
rnacentral:lncRNA from 1 species